AUGGGAACACAGAGGCUCAGAGUACCUUCCCUCAAGAUCUCACACAGAGAAAGCAUAGGGAGUCGGACAUUCAUCCCAGCUGUCUGGCUUUUCCUAGAAGUUGCUUCCCCCUCUGAUGCUGUGAGGUUCAACAACAGGAUAACUUCCAUUGAAUGGCCACCAUUUUACCAAGAUCUUCGAUUUUCUCCUUCAUCUCCAAUAGCAACCUUAUAUGAAUUUGGAAUUAUUUUUAUUUUCAUCGCAUAGAUGAAGAAACCAAGACUGAUAGAUUGAAUAGCUUGCCCAAAGCCCUGUGACUGGGAAGAAGGGAGACAGCAAGGUGGAAAGGUGGAGUGUAUGGGAUUUGGAUGGAUAAACCAGAAAGGAUUCCUGGUUUAUGUCCUGUACUAGUUUUCUAUUGCUGCAAAGUAAAUAACCACAAACCUAGAGGCUUAACACAACACACACUUAUUAUAUCACAGUGGCUUAGGAGUCUAGACUCUGCUUCAGAGUCUCUUAUAAGGCUGCAAUCAAGACAUUGACAAGGGCUUGGGUCUCACCUGAGUGUUAUAAAGGACCUGCUUUCAAACCCAUCUGAUGGUUGGCAAUAUUCAGUCUCUGAAGGCUUAUCACACUGAUGGUCUCAAUUUCUUGCCUUUUUUUUUUUUUUUUUUUUUUUUUUUUAUCAUAUGAGCCCCUACACAUGGCAACUUGCCUCUUCAAAGCCAGCAAGGGAGACAGUAUGCUAGCAGGAUGGACAUUAUGAUCUUAUGCAAAAUAAUCACCUUUGCCAUAUUCCAUUGGUUAGAACAAAUCAUGGAUCCUACCCACACUCAAGGGGAAGGAAUUACACAGGAUAAGAACACCGGAGGUGGCAUCAUGGAUCAAAGGAGGCCAUCUUAAAGCUGUCUGCCACAUAUCCUCUCUACACUUCUCCCUGAUAAAUCAACCUUUCGGUGUCUCAGUUUCCUUACUUGUAAAAUGGAGACUCUAAAGUUGUAACAGAGAUUAGAUGUGUGAAUCUUUGUAAACUGCUUCAAAUAAUGCCUAGUACAUAGCUAACAUCACCAAAAAAAAGUUUGUUAAAUUAAUAAAUACCAGAACUAGAAUCCAGACCCAGAUUUGAAGGCUCUAAAAAGUCCAUGCACUGGGUAAUCAAGCUUUUGAAGAGAUAUUAGAAAAUUAGAAUAAGCAAAAGAAAGGAAAAUUAUUCCCAUUCAAAAUCCCAGCAACCCAAUCAAAAUCCCAGCAAGUUAUUUUGUGGCUAUUGAGAAACUGAUUUUAAGGUUUAUUUAUAUGGAGAGGGAAGAUACCCAGAAUAGUGAACACAAUAUUGACAAAGAAGGUCCAAGUUGGAGGACAGACAUUACCUGACAUCAAGACUUACUAUAAAGCAACUAUAAUCAAGACAAGGUAGUAUUGGUGAAAGAAUACAUAAAAGAUCAAUGCAACAGAAUAGAGAGCCAGAAAUAGACUCAUACAAAUAUGCUCAACUGAUCUUUGACAAAGGGGCAAAAGCAAUUUGGGGGAGAAAGGCUAGUCUUUUCAGCAAAUGGUGCUGAAACAACUGGACAUCCAUAUGCAAAAAUUAAAAAAAAAAAGAUUCCAAACAUAGAUAAUAUGCCUUUCACAAAAAUUCACUCAAAAUGGAUCAUAGACUGUAAAAUGCAGAAUUAUAAAACUCCUGGAAAGAUUAAAAAUAAAAAUAAUAAAACUCCUAGAAGACAAUAGAAAAUCUAGAUAACUUGGGUGGGUGAUGACAUUUUAGAUUCAAUAUCAAAAGCAUGAUCUACAAAAGAAAUAAAUUGCCAAGUUGGACUCCAUUAAAAUUAAAAACUUCUACUAUGCGAAAGGCAUUAUUAAGAGAAUAAGAAGAUAAAUCACAGGUGUGAUAAAAUCUUUGCAAGGCACAUAUCUGGUAAAGGGUUGGUAUUCAGAAUAUACAAAGAGCUUUUAAAGCUCAACAAUAUGAAAGCAAACAACCCAAAUAAGAAAUGGACAAAACAAAACAAAACAAAAAAAUGGACAGAAGAUCUAGAUAGACACCCCACCAAAGAAGAUACAUAGAUGGGAUCCAAGCAUUUGAAAAGAUGCCCAACAUCAAGCUUAUUGGAAAAUGCAAGUUAAUACAAUAAGUAAAUACUAAUACAUACCUAUUAGGAUGGCUGAAACCCAGAACAUGGGCAACACCAAAUGCUGGUGAGGAUGUGGAGCAAUAGAAACAUUUAUUCAUUGCUGGUGAAAAUACAAAAUGGUGCAACCACUUUGGAAGACAGUACUGGUGGUUUCUUCUGAAACUAACCAUAUAACCCAACAAUUGUACUCCUUGAUAUUUACUGAAAUGAGUUGAAAACUCAUCUCUAAAAACAAACAAAACAAAACAAAACAAAAAACCACCAAAACUCCCUGCACUUGAAUGUUUACAGCAGCUUUAUUCACUAUUGCCAAAACUUGGAAGCAACCAAGAAGUCCUUUAACAGGUGAAUGGAUAAACAAACUGUGGUCCAUCUAAACAAUGGAAUAGCACUCAGUGCUAAAAAGAAAUGAACUAUCAAGCCAUGAAAAGACAUGAAGGAACCUUAAAUGUAUAUUGCAAAGUGAAAGAAGCCAAUCUGAAAAAGCAUCAUAUUGUAGGAUUAAAGCUGUAUGUCAUACUGGGAAAAGCAAAAUAUGCAGACAGUAAAAAGAUCAGUGGUUGCCAGGGGUUUGGGGGGAAGGAGGGAGGAAGGGAAGGAUUUUUAGGGCAGUGAAACCAUUCUGUAUGACACCGUAAUAGUAGAUACAUGUCACUAUACUCUUGUCCAACCCAUGGAAUGCACAUCAAGAGGGAACCCUAAGCAAACUGUGGACUUAUUAAUAAUGUAUCAAUAUUGGUUCAUCAAUAGUAAUAAAUGUACCAGACCAGUGUAAGAUGUUAAUAAUGGGGGAACCUUGGGGGCGGGGGCCGAGGUGCUGGAAACUCUGCACUUUCUGCUCAAUUUUUCAGUAAAUCUAAAACUGCUUUAAAAAUUGCCUAUUAGGGAUGCCUGGAUGGCUCAGUGUUUGAGCGUCUGCCUUCAGCUCAGGGCAUGGUCCCAUGGUCCUAGGGUCCCGGAAUCGAUCCCACAUUGGGCUCCCCUUGCGGAGCCUGCUUCUCCGUCUGCCUGUGUCUCUGCCACUCUCUU
rnacentral:lncRNA from 1 species